rnacentral:rRNA from 1 species
AGUGAACGCUGGCGGUAGGCCUAACACAUGCAAGUCGAACGGCAGCACAGUAAGAGCUUGCUCUUACGGGUGGCGAGUGGCGGACGGGUGAGGAAUACAUCGGAAUCUACUUUUUCGUAGGGGAUAACGUAGGGAAACUUACGCUAAUACCGCAUACGACCUACGGGUGAAAGCAGGGGAUCUUCGGACCUUGCGCGAUUGAAUGAGCCGAUGUCGGAUUAGCUAGUUGGCGGGGUAAAGGCCCACCAAGGCGACGAUCCGUAGCUGGUCUGAGAGGAUGAUCAGCCACACUGGAACUGAGACACGGUCCAGACUCCUACGGGAGGCAGCAGUGGGGAAUAUUGGACAAUGGGCGCAAGCCUGAUCCAGCCAUACUGCGUGGGUGAAGAAGGCCUUCGGGUUGUAAAGCCCUUUUGUUGGGAAAGAAAAGCAGCAGGUUAAUACCCCGCUGUUCUGACGGUACCCAAAGAAUAAGCACCGGCUAACUUCGUG